CAGGAGAAACUGUCCAUUCGGCGGGUUUGUUUCGGGCCUGAGCUGUCCAAAUUGGCGGCGUCGGAUCGUGACAGCCAAACCAUUGCACAUGUAGUUUGAUGGCGAGGCUCUGGUCACCUUGCCAUGCUUCCGAGGCGUCGGCAAUGAUCGUCGCCAACAGAAAUCCAACUUUUCGACUGCAUAGACAACAACUUGAGAGCACAACGGCAACAACUCAGCUUAUGCACUGUUUUGGCCGCAACUGAGGGGAGCAUGGGCUUGAGGAAAUGUCUGGAAAGGCUGUGCUCGUCGACGUGAUGCGGCGAAGGCGAUGAAGUGCUAGAAAGAGAAAACUUGGCCACACAAUAGCUUUUGGGAGCACACUAUCGUUGCAUGAAUCUAUAGACUGUUCCGACAACUCCUUGGAGGUGAGAACGCAAUAAAGAAGGCAGAGGUUUUGCAGUGCUCCACCUACCAGAGGUCGUUGGUGACAGAGAUUGCUGGAGGAAGGAACUUGGCCACGGAGGCUUUCGAGAGCACCACCAGUCCACGACCAGAGCUUGUGUUGAGAGUUUGUGUUGAUGUAACACACUGAAAAUUUGCAAAUUGCAAGGUUCCAGUGUUUGAUCUGUGAUUUGAGUUUUUCAGGUAUUUUGGAGGGUCGUAGACAGUGUUCCGACCCAUGGCUCGUAUCCCGAGAAUCGAGGUUUAAAGCUCAGCGCCAAAGUCCCACAAGUGAGGAAAUUUGGACUGCUCUCGGGUUCCCUCAGCAAGGCUGUGUACCAGUACAUGUUGAUGGUUGUACCAGUACAACAUCAGAUGUGUAACGGUACACAGGGUUGUUUUCUGUCAACCUGAGGCUCGGGUUGCUGUCUGGCUGGCUUUGUACCGGUACACUUUCUCGUGUACCGGUACGCAGUGCAGUUGCAGACUGCACGUUGUUGGAGGGUCUUUUUGAGAUUGUUACAUUUCUAUUUAACCCCCCACAGCCCUUUGGAGAGCUCCUUUGAGCCCUAAUCCGUGGAGAGCUCAGCCUUGGUUUGAGGAGAGGAGUUUUCUAGAGGACCAAACUUCAACCUUAGCUCAUUCCAAGCUUGGAUUGGAGCAUAUUGAGAGGUUAGAUUUGAAGAUCCAUUGAGUUGAUUUGGGCUUUGGACAAGUGUAGCUUGGUUAAAGGGUGCUAGAAGCUUGGGGGGCAACUUCGUUUGAGGAAACGAAAGGGUUCGAAGCGCUUCCGAGCCAUCUGCAUCGGGAGUGGCUAGGGAUCGUGGCAAGGGGUUAGCGGCUAGCUAGGGUCCUACGGAGUUAUUUAGUUGGACCCGAUGUUAUCUUUUUAUUUUGUACUUUAGAAAAGAUGUAUAUGUAUUUGUUUAGAGCCACAUGUUGGAUUCUGGAUUUAGUUGUAUCUCUAUUGUGGAUCCCUUUUGUUAGAACUUUAGCGACUUUAUUAUACUCA